CUCCUACGCGGAAACGAUCAUCGCGACCUCCUUCCGAAGCCACCUCCCUCCUUCCCGCUCGCUUCUCUCGGCUCCCUCUCACGCUUGCUCUCGUCGGUGGCUCCGAUCGGAGCCCGUCGAUCCCUUGGCAGAGCAUCGUUCCAUCUUCGGAUCUCUCGUGUCGCCUGCCCUCACACGGUUCUUGAUCACCCCCUGAAACUCUCCUGUUAGGGUUUGCGGGGUUUUGGGUGGAAGAGAGUAGGCGGCGGAGGAAGGAUCUCAAGUUGUUGAGCUAGCAUGAGCUUCGGAGUGGGAGGUGGAACUGCGAGGGAUGGGACAUAGCUCGAAGAAGAAGAAACGGAACGGGGGUGGCCGGACCAGGGGCCGGGCCCCUUUGAACGAUCGCUCGGCUGGUGCCGAGGGCGAUCAGGAUCUUCUGGCUGAUGAGUUGACGGCACUGGCCUCAAUAUUUCAGGAAGAUUUCAACAUUAUCUCUAAAGCUCCUCAUACUUAUUUUUCUAUAAAACUAAGGCCUUACUCAAAUGAUAUGGGCUGUGAAGAUCUCCAUGUUUCUGCUCUUCUUUUGGUAAGAUGCUUACUUGGGUAUCCUCACAAGUGCCCAAAGUUGCGGAUAGUACCAGAGAAAGGUCUGUCAAAAGAAGAUGCCGAUAAGCUUCUGCUGUUGCUUGUUGAUCAGGCAAAGGUUAAUGGUCGGGAAGGACGUGUAAUGAUUUUCAAUUUGGUGGAGACAGCUCAAGAGUUUUUAUCUGAAAUUGCCUCAUUCAAUGAAUCACAUGAAUCUGUUCCUUGUAUUGGUUCUAGUCGAAAUGACCACUCUCUUCAAGAGGAACCAGCAUCCCAGAUUGAUAUGUGCCGUUAUUCUGAUGGGCCUUCUGUUUGCAGUUCAAUCGAUCUAUAUGGUGACUUGUGUGGUGAUGAUGCACCAUUGGGUGGUCAUGUCACGAAAGCUACAAAUAACAGCUCUAGCAAAGUCAUUGUUACACAAGCUGGAUCAAUGGACAUGGACAAAAAUAAAAACAUCCUUUUGGAAUCUCAUGCCUUAAAGAACGUUGAGAAUGCCACCACAGAUGAUGGUUUGUUAAGAAAUAGGAAAUCUGAAGUGUUGAACAUGAUAAAACAUGGGGUUGAACCACUGGCAGUUGCAAAAUUAAAUGUUCUUGUGGAAGAAACUGAAAAUGACGCGACAAGUUCAUCUUUCAAGGCUUCCUUGAAACCAUUAGAAGAUGUUCUGGAGAGUUCUGAUGCCACACUGCAUGAGGGCAUCAACCUUUUAGAGCAUGGAUGUAAGAAUGAUGUGUCUGAUUCAGAAUGUGAUUAUUUGACUUCGUCUAGCUAUGUUUCAGUUACACAUGAUGAUGAAUCUCGACGCAAGGAAAAAGAUCUUCUUUUGGUACACUUGCUUCGCCUUGCUUGCUCUUCCAAAGGAUCUUUAGCUAAUGCUUUACCGGAGAUAUCGUUGGAGCUGCAGAAUAUAGGGGUGCUUUCUGAAUGGGCCAACGAUUUAAUUGCUGCACCCCUGUCAGUUUUUACUGAAGCAUUUGAUCAUGCCUUUGAACAGCAUAUGGCAUCCUCAAAAUUCUCCGAAUUCUGGAGAACAGACAAUGGUUCUUCAUCUAAACCAAAUUCUCGUUAUUUGAGUGACUUCCAAGAGGUCCAUUCACUUGGUCAUGGAGGUUUUGGCCAUGUUGCAUUGUGCAAAAAUAAACUAGAUGGUCGCCAAUAUGCACUAAAAAAGAUUCGCCUUAAAGAUAAAAAUCUUCAUGUCAAUGAAAAGAUUGUGAGAGAGGUAGCAACACUCUCAAGAUUGCAGCACCAACAUGUAGUUCGUUACUAUCAGGCAUGGUUUGAGACUGAAUAUGGUAAUAAUAAUGUAGAUAUCACUUGUGGUUCAAGAACUGCUGAGAGCAUCAGCUAUAGCUACAUUGGUACUAGUUCAGCAGAUGCCACUGGUGAAAACAGAAAGGAAUCAACAUAUCUGUAUAUACAAAUGGAGUAUUGUCCUAGGACUUUACGGCAGGUUUUUGAGUCAUAUAGUUCCUUCUUCGAUAAGGACUAUGCAUGGCAUUUGUUUCGCCAAGUUGUGGAAGGCCUAGCACAUAUACAUAGUCAGGGAAUAAUUCAUCGUGACUUGACUCCUAGUAACAUAUUCUUUGAUGUUCGUAAUGAUAUUAAAAUUGGAGACUUUGGUCUUGCCAAGUUCUUAAAACUAGAGCAGCUUGAUCAUGAUCAAAAUUUUCCCAUCGAAACAACUGGAGUGUCAAUGGAUGGAACUGGUCAAGUGGGUACUUAUUUUUACACUGCACCUGAAGUUGAGCAGAGCUGGCCACAAAUAAACGAAAAGGUUGACAUGUAUAGCUUAGGAGUUAUAUUCUUUGAGCUAUGGCAUCCUUUUGCAACUGCAAUGGAGAGACACAUUGUUCUUUCAGAUCUUAAGCAAAAGGGUGUGGUUCCACCUUCCUGGGCUGCAAAAUUCCCUAGCCAGGCAACACUAUUGCGGCGGUUAAUGUCUCCAAGUCCAUCAGACCGUCCAUCUGCUAUUGAAGUUCUGCAGCAUGAGUUGCCUCCCAGAUUGGAAGAUGAGUGGCUAAAUGAUAUACUACGAACCAUACAGACAUCAGAAGACACAUAUGUAUAUGAUCGAGUUGUAUCCACUAUUUUUGAUGAGGAAAGAUUAAUUACAAAAUAUCAUUACCAGCAAAGUGGCAGUGCAAACAUGACAAGAGAUGACCCUUCUUUUGUGCAGCAUGCACAGUUCGAUACUGGAUUCAAAGAUAUUGUUGUUGCAGUUAGCAAGGAAAUAUUUAAACAGCACUGUGCAAAGAGAUUUGAAAUAUCACCCUUGCGAAUAUUGGAUGGCUGUUAUACAUUCAACAGGAAGACUGUCAAGCUUUUAACUCAAGGAGGAAACAUGCUUGAGCUCUGCCAUGAAUUACGCUUACCAUUUGUGAAUUGGAUUGCUAAAAGUCAGAAAUCGUUUUGCAAAAGGUAUGAAAUUUCUUAUGUUUACAGAAGAGCAAUUGGCCGUUCAACUCCUAGUCGAUUUCUUCAGGGUGAUUUUGACAUUAUUGGUGGUGCCCCAUCACUGACAGAAGCAGAAGUCAUUAAGGUGGCAUUGGAUAUUGUAGCCCGCUUUUUUCCUCCAAAUGCAAUGGAGAUUCAUUUAAAUCAUGGCCAAGUUCUAGAAUCCAUAUGGACUUGGAUAGGAAUACCGGUUGAAUUGCGACAUAAUGUAGCUGAGUUGCUUUCUGUGAUUGGUUCAUCUUGUCCUCAGUCCACUAAUCGUAAAUCAAGUUGGAAAUUUAUCCGGCGACAGCUCCUACAGGAUCUUAAUCUUUCUGAAGCACUUGUUGACAGACUACAGAUAACAGAUUUAAGGUUUUGUGGAUCAGCAGAUCAAGCCCUUGCCAGACUGCGGGGAGCUCUUUCUCCAGAUAAACCUACAAGCAAGGCUCUUGAGGAGUUGUCGGCUCUUCUUAGAUACUUGAGGAUAUGGGGUAUUGAACAAAGUAUUUCUAUUGAUGUUCUUAUGCCUCCUACUGAAACAUGUUACCAGAAUCUUUUCUUUCAGAUAUACUUGAAAGAGAGUAUCUCUUCGAGUUCUGAAGCAUUCUUGCUUGCUGUUGGUGGCCGGUAUGAUCAUUUGAUUCAGUGGACAUGGGAUAGUGAAUGCAAAUCCAUCCCUCCAGGCGGUGUUGGAGUUAGCAUUGCAUUGGAGAAGAUUCUUCUUCAUUCUUCAGUAGAUAUCAUGCCUUCCAGAUUUGAAUCCAGUACCCAUGUUCUUGUCUGUUCAAGAGGCGGGGGUGGUCUGCUACCAGAGCGCAUGGAAAUUGUUGCAGAGCUAUGGCAAGCCAACAUAAAGGCUGAGUUUCUUCCCCAGACAGACCCGAGCCUCAAAGAACAGUACGAAUAUGCAAGUGAGCAUGACAUUAAAUGCCUUAUUAUAAUAACUGAAGCUGGUCUAUCACAAGGAAGUCUAGUGAAGGUUCGCCAUCUUGAAUUGAAGAAAGAGAAGGAAGUUAACAGAGAGGAUGUUAUAAAGUUUUUAAUAGAAGCAAUUUCUACACAGUUCAGGAACCUUGCAUUAUGGACUUAAUUAUUUCAUACAUUCAAGUCUUUCACAGGUUUGUUUCCUUUGAGCACUUCAAGAUUGUGUGAGGUGUUAGCAAUUAAGCCUCUUGUGUGGUACAUUUUCGCUGGUUUAUUGUUAUGUACUUGUCAUCCAAAGUCACUAACAGAUUUGAAUUCAGGAAAGAUGAUGAUUUAAAUAAACUGUCCUAUAUGAGCCAAGUUUAGAGCUAUUGGAUAGGAGUUUUGCAGGUGGACUAGUGGGCAAUUUAUAUAUUUCAUGUUUAAUGCACAGAUAUAUCAUCGUGAUGAAUAUCGUAAUGUUCCAUUCAUUUAUGGUAUGAAUUAAGAACGCCGUUCAUAACUUGAAUAUAUUAAGAUAUUUUUGUUGCAAGGAAAACUAAUAUGCUUAAGCCAACAUUAACAUUAGGAUUUGAUAUCCAAUCUGAUAUUGGCAAAUGAUAUAUUUAAUUUGUCUACUGUUUUAGUACCCUCUUAUCAUAUUCGAUUUUGGAUUACCCACUUAAUUUCUUCUCAGAUUAGGGCGAUGCUAAACUUAACUUUAAUUCGUUUUAUCCGACUUAACAAGAGGUUUGUCCAGAUUGUUUUCCAGGUGGCACAACUUGCGAACCUAAACCAGAACCACAUAGGAUCACUUAACGUUCUUACAUGAAUGGCUUGCAUUUUCUCUUAUCAUGCUAUCGAUACAAGUAUUCACUAAUAUCUGAUCACCUAAACUAAUUUGAGUUAUUUUACCCCCCUUGCUUA